rnacentral:lncRNA from 1 species
ACUAGAAAAGAAGAAAAUUAAGUAUUAGGUCGCGGUUAUACUUCAUGUUUUGUUUUACAUAUUCCACAAGUCGCAGCUGAAAAAUACCCCAAAAACUAUAAACCCACAAUUCAACUUAACAACUUCAACAACUAAUGACCGCACAACAAGAUAGACACACCAAUCCACACACACACGACAACCAACACAAGACAAAACAAAACAGAAGAGUACUCGUAAUCGCUUAGUUUGUAGUAACUAUCU